rnacentral:rRNA from 1 species
UACGUAGGGGGCUAGCGUUGUCCGGAAUCAUUGGGCGUAAAGCGCGUGUAGGCGGUCCGGUAAGUCCGCUGUGAAAGUCGGGGGCUCAACCCUCGAAAGCCGGUGGAAACUGUCGGGCUAGAGUACGGAAGAGGCGAGUGGAAUUCCUGGUGUAGCGGUGAAAUGCGCAGAUAUCAGGAGGAACACCAAUUGCGAAGGCAGCUCGCUGGGACGGUACUGACGCUGAGACGCGAAAGCGUGGGGAGCGAACAGG